CCUACGGGUGGCAGCAGUGAGGACUAUUGGUCAAUGGGCGGGAGCCUGAACCAGCCAAGUCGCGUGAGGGAAUACGGUCCUAUGGAUUGUCAACCUCUUUAGUCGGGGAGCAAUGCCGGGCACGCGUGCCCGGAGGGAGAGUACCCGCAGAAUAAGCAUCGGCAAAAUCCGUGCCAGCAGCCGCGGUAAUACGGAGGAUGCGAUCGUUAUCCUGCUGUAUUGGGUUUAAGGGGUGCGGAGGCGGAUUGUUAAGUCAGCGGUAAAAUGUCCGGGCUCAACCCGGGCCGGCCGUUGAAACUGGGGAGCUUGAGUGGGCGAGAAGUAUGCGGAAUGCGUGGUGUAGCGGUGAAAUGCAUAGAUAUCACGCAGAACUCCGAUUGCGAAGGCAGCAUACCGGCGCCCGACUGACGCUGAGGCACGAAAGCGUGGGGAUCGAACAGGAUUAGAUACCCUUGUAGUC
rnacentral:rRNA from 1 species